GACGAACGCUGGCGGCGUGCUUAACACAUGCAAGUCGAACGGAAAGGCCCUGCUUUUGUGGGGUGCUCGAGUGGCGAACGGGUGAGUAACACGUGAGUAACCUGCCCUUGACUUUGGGAUAACUUCAGGAAACUGGGGCUAAUACCGGAUAGGAUCUCCUGCUGCAUGGUGGGGGUUGGAAAGUUUCGGCGGUUGGGGAUGGACUCGCGGCUUAUCAGCUUGUUGGUGGGGUAGUGGCUUACCAAGGCUUUGACGGGUAGCCGGCCUGGGAGGGUGAACGGGGUCCAGGGUCCUGAGGUACGGACCAGAGUCCUACGGGAGGCAGCAGUGGGGAGUAUUGCACAAUGGGCGCAAGCCUGAUGCAGCAACGCCGCGUGCGGGAUGACGGCCUUCUGGUUGUAAACCGCAUUCGCCUGUGACGAAGCGUGAGUGACGGUAAUGGGUAAAGAAGCACCGGCUAACUACGUG
rnacentral:rRNA from 1 species